CAGAGUUGCGGCUGCGUUGCUCCUGGCGCGUUCUUGGGGGAGCGGUGCAGGCGCCGGGGCUGCGGCUGGGAGUCCUCCGGCCGGUCCCUACCGGGUUGCGUGACGGGUCUGAAAAGGGGGUCUGCACGUUGCUAAGUAGUGUUUCUUGCAGUGGGCUCUCAGGAGUCCUCUGAUGGAGAGCUGACCUAGUCUGUGCUGCCAGACAGAAAGGAACCUUGAUCAGCAAUGCGCGCUCGAGGCGCAGCAGGUAGUGGCCCGGGGGAAUGAGAACCAGGAGGCCCCAGCGCCGACACAACGGUUUCCCAAAGUGGGCAACGGGAUCGCGGGGGCAUUCACGUGGUGUGCAUGGACGGUGUAUCAUGCCAUUUCAUCGAAUACAAAUGGUCAUUUGCUUUCAGAGUUUGGUUCUAGGUGCUGGGGAUACAGAAGUGAACACAACAGACAGGCAGGAUCUGUAUUGUCAUAGUGCUGACCUUUUAGGGUAAACCAACAAGACAGAAAUUGAUGAUCUGAAAUCCAUAAAACAAGGAUCAUUUAAAAAUCUAAGGACUUCCCUGAUGGUGCAGUGG